UUCCACUCCUCAUGCUCCACUCCUCGUACACUACUCAAGCACAGCGCAGUGUACUUCCUAGCGCUGGCCUUGUCAAUUCCCAGCCAUGAGGUUUUCCCUAAAACCUCUAAAACCUCCGGCCGCCUCCACUCUCCGUCGUUUCUCCGCCGAUCCGCUCGCCACGCCAACAGCAGAUCCAUCCUGCCCCAUCUCGGAGACGCUCUCACUUCUCCAAACCUCCGAUCCCAUUUCCUGGCCAGCCAAUUCUAAGCUCGGCGAUCUCCUCUCCGCCGUCUCUCCACAGUCCGUCCUCAAAAUCACCCGCCAGCUCCCGGCUUCUCAAAAUGCCCUCCAAUUUUUCGAGUACCUCAAAUCAAGCCCCCACCUAUCCGAUUUUGUCCCCUUUGCGUUCCAAGGGGUGCUUGAGCUUGUCAUGCGCGAAAACCCUAAUUCCCCCGGUAAGCUAUACGAGCUCUUCGCAAUGGCAAAGGAGCAAAAUACCCCUCUCUCCGUCAACGCGGGAACCCUGCUGAUUAUGUGCUUUAGCAACGCCAAUAUGCUGGAGGAGAUGGUCAUGGUGCUCGACGCCAUCGAGACGCGGGUGAGGAACACUCACGUGGUUAAUUUAGUUGUUUUUGGAUUGUUCAAUUUGGGCCGUUUCCCUGCUGCCCUGAAGCUGGUCGACAAAAUGCUUCAACCCGGUGCCGCUAAUCCUCCCAAUGACAGGACGUUGAGAAUUGUCUUUUCAUCGAUUUUGGGAAGAAAGUACAGAGGUGGGGAUUUGAGGGAUGAGGAAAUUUAUCAUCUUUUUUUGCGUUUCAGUGAGAAUGGUCUUUGCCUGGGUGGAUAUUGGUUGACGCACAUGAUUUCUAGGUUUUGUAGGAAUGGAGACUGCAACAAGGCUUGGAAUGCUUUGCAAAAGGCCAUGAAUUCAGGGUCUCAUGUGGAGGUGAUCCCUUGCAAUUUCCUGCUGUCAAAGUUAGGGCAGCAACGUGAUUAUGUUAGAAUGAACUUGUUGAUGAACGAGAUGAAGGAAAAGGGGAUCACACCCACUGUUGUGACCUAUGGGAUCAUGAUCAGGAACUUGUGCAAGAUUCGGAGGUUGGAUGAGGCAUUGGAGGUGCUCGAGAAGAUGAGAGAUGGAGAAGCUGGCAUUAAACCAGAUGUUGUCAUUUACAACACGUUGAUUGAUGGAUUGUGUAAAGUUGGGAGGCAAGAAGAUGGGUUAAGGUUGAUGGAGAGAAUGAGGUCGUCUGAGACCAAGUGUGAGCCAAACACUGUCACUUACAAUUGCUUGAUCGAUGGAUUUUGUAAAGUAGGUGACAUUGAUACGGCGCGCGAGCUUUUUGAGCAAAUGAGCAAUCUUGAUGAGGGUGUGAACAUCGUUUCACUUAAUGCAAUGCUGGGAGGGAUGUGUAGGGUGGGUAGAGUUAGCAGUGCGAUGGAACUCUUUAGCAGAAUGCGUGAGAAAGGUUUGGAAGGGAAUGCAGUUACAUAUACUGCAUUGAUAACUGCUUUCUGUGGUGCAAACAAUACUGAGAAAGCAAUGGAUUUGUUUAACGAAAUGAAAGAAAAUGGAUGCAACCCGGAUGCUAUCAUCUACUACACCUUGAUCUCGGGCUUUACACGGGCAGGAAGAAUGAAUGAUGCUAUGGAAAUCAAGUCGAAGAUGGAGGAAGCUGGUUUUUCAUUGGACAUAAUUGGCUACAAUAUCAUGAUUGGUGGAUUUUGUAGGAAGAAUAAGAUUGGGAAUGCAUCUGAGCUGCUGACAGAAAUGGAGAUUGCGGGAUUAAAUCCUGAUCGUGUCACAUAUAAUACUCUGAUUUCGUAUUUCUGUGACAAGGGGGAUUUCAAGCAUGCACAGAAAGUAAUGAAGAAGAUGAUGGAUGAUGGAUUAUCACCUACUGUUGUUACCUAUGGUGCCUUGAUUCAAGGGUAUUGCGUGAAGGGGAGUCUCAGUGCAGCGAUGAGGUUAUUCGCAGACAUGAAAUCCACGUCAAAGGUGCCUCCGAACACUGUUAUUUACAACAUCUUGAUUGACUCACAUUGCAAGGAGGAUAACGUGGAAGGGGCUCUUUCAUUAAUGGAUGAGAUGAGGGAUCGUGGGGUGAAGCUGAAUACCACCACAUACAAUGCUCUGUUUAAAGGCAUGCAGCAGAGGAAUUGGUCAAAGAAGGCGCUGCAGCUUAUGCAGCAGAUGAGUAAACAGGAAUGUAUGCCGGAUUAUGUGACGAUGGAGAUUCUCACUGAGUGGCUUUCUGCAGCUGGUGAGACGGAGAAGUUGAAAGAGUUUGUUCGGUCCUACCGGGAUUGUAAUCUGACUGUGUAGAGCUUCAUUGUUAUCCUACUUCACCGAAGAUGCGCCAUAGCAAAUUUAAUAAGUUAUAAGAAAAGUUCUCCCCCCUCCACGUGCUAUCUUCGUCCCCAGCCAUCUUUCCUUACUUGCUUCCAUUAUAGUAUGAUCAUGGUUGAAGGGGUUUUCCCAAACUCAAGUUUCUUGCGAUUUAAGUGCUAGGAGUGGCGCAUCCAAGGCUCGAGGAUGGACAACCGAACCAAGCUUGAGAGAUUAUGUCGGAGAUUAUUUUGGAUUGCAACUUUCGAGGUUAAGGAGUCUGUGACGAGGCAGCGGUCAACGUGGUCCACGGUCUCCCAACCCAAUUUUUGCCUAUUAUCCAUUUCGGGAUUUUGGGGUAAAUAUGACCAGUUUAGAUAAUACUAUAUUUUCAAAACGUGUGUCCCAUGAUGGUGAUUUAGCCACAUAUAUGGUUUCUAAUACAUUUGUGUUUUUUUGGGGAACGUGUUCCGAAUAGGCAAAUUAUUUUAUUUUCGCUCA